UAGAGUUUGAUCCUGGCUCAGAAUAAACGCUGGCGGCGUGCCUAACACAUGCAAGUCGCACGAGAAAGCCUGUUUUCGGAUGGGCGAGUAAAGUGGCGCACGGGUGAGUAACGCGUAGGCMACCCACCCCCGCAUUCGGGAUAACAGUGCGAAAGUGCUGCUAAUACCGGAUACGACCCGAGACCGGGAGGUUUCGGGUGAAAGUCGGCCUCUGAUAUAAGCCGGCGUACGGGGACGGGCCUGCGUCCUAUCAGCUAGUUGGCGGGGUAACGGCCCACCAAGGCUACGACGGGUAGCUGGUCUGAGAGGAUGAUCAGCCACACUGGCACUGGAACACGGGCCAGACUCCUACGGGAGGCAGCAGUGAGGAAUUUUGCGCAAUGGCCGCAAGGCUGACGCAGCAACGCCGCGUGGGUGAAGAAGGCCUUCGGGUCGUAAAGCCCUGUCAGGCGGGAAGAAAAGCCCUGAGUUUAAUGGACUCGGGGACCUGACGGUACCGCCAGAGGAAGCACCGGCUAACUCCGUGCCAGCAGCCGCGGUAAUACGGAGGGUGCGAGCGUUAUUCGGAAUUACUGGGCGUAAAGCGCGUGCAGGCGGCUCGACAAGUCUGAUGUGAAAGCCCUGGGCUUAACCCGGGAAGUGCAUUGGAAACUGUCGGGCUUGAGUACUGGAGAGGAAGGGGGAAUUCCCGGUGUAGAGGUGAAAUUCGUAGAGAUCGGGAGGAAUACCAGUGGCGAAGGCGCCCUUCUGGACGGAUACUGACGCUGAGACGCGAAAGCGUGGGGAGCAAACAGGAUUAGAUACCCUGGUAGUCCACGCUGUAAACGAUGGGCACUAGGUGUAGCGGGUACUCAUUCCUGCUGUGCCGUAGCUAACGCGUUAAGUGCCCCGCCUGGGGAUACGU
rnacentral:rRNA from 1 species